rnacentral:rRNA from 1 species
CAUCUCAGUAAUGCAGCUAACGCAUUAAGUGUACCGCCUGGGGAGUACGGUCGCAAGAUUAAAACUCAAAGGAAUAGACGGGGACCCGCACAAGCGGUGGAGCAUGUGGUUUAAUUCGAAGAUACGCGAAGAACCUUACCUGGGCUUGAUAUCCUAAGAACCUUUUAGAGAUAAGAGGGUGCUAGCUUGCUAGAACUUAGAGACAGGUGCUGCACGGCUGUCGUCAGCUCGUGUCGUGAGAUGUUGGGUUAAGUCCCGCAACGAGCGCAACCCACGUAUUUAGUUGCUAACGGUUCGGCCGAGCACUCUAAAUAGACUGCCUUCGUAAGGAGGAGGAAGGUGUGGACGACGUCAAGUCAUCAUGGCCCUUAUGCCCAGGGCGACACACGUGCUACAAUGGCAUAUACAAUGAGACGCAAUACCGCGAGGUGGAGCAAAUCUAUAAAAUAUGUCCCAGUUCGGAUUGUUCUCUGCAACUCGAGAGCAUGAAGCCGGAAUCGCUAGUAAUCGUAGAUCAGCCAUGCUACGGUGAAUACGUUCCCGGGUCUUGUACUCACCGCCCGUCACACCAUGGGAGUUGAUUUCACUCGAAGCCGGAAUACUAAACUAGUUACCGUCCACAGUGGAAUCAGCGACUGGGGUGAAGUCGUAACAAGGUAACCGUAGGAGAACCUGCGGUUGGAUCACCUCCUUU